rnacentral:rRNA from 1 species
GAUGAACGCUAGCGGCAGGCUUAAUACAUGCAAGUCAAGGGGGUAGCAAUACAACCGGCGCACGGGUGAGUAACGCGUACACAACAUACCAUAUACUGGGGUAUAGCUUUGGGAAACUGAAGGUAAUCCCCCAUAACAUUGCGAGAGGGCAUCUGAUUGCAAUUAAAGUUUCGACGGUAUAUGAUUGGUGUGCGUUUGAUUAGCUUGUUGGUAGGGUAACGGCCUACCAAGGCGACGAUCAAUAGCUGGCGUGAGAGCGCGACCAGCCACACUGGAACUGAGACACGGUCCAGACUCCUACGGGAGGCAGCAGUAGGGAAUAUUGGACAAUGGGCGAAAGCCUGAUCCAGCCAUGCCGCGUGAUAGAUGAAGGCCCUCUGGGUUGUAAAUAUCUUUUAUCUGGGAAGAAACCCCUCGUUUCUACGAGGCUUGACGGUACCAGAGGAAUAAGCACCGGCUAACUCCGUGCCAGCAGCCGCGGUAAACUGUAGUCGUC